GAUGAACGCUGGCGGCGUGCCUAAUACAUGCAAGUCGAGCGAACGGACGAGAAGCUUGCUUCUCUGAUGUUAGCGGCGGACGGGUGAGUAACACGUGGAUAACCUACCUAUAAGACUGGGAUAACUUCGGGAAACCGUAGCUAAUACCGGAUAAUAUUUUGAACCGCAUGGUUCAAAAGUGAAAGACGGUCUUGCUGUCACUUAUAGAUGGAUCCGCGCUGCAUUAGCUAGUUGGUAAGGUAACGGCUUACCAAGGCAACGAUGCAUAGCCGACCUGAGAGGGUGAUCGGCAACACUGGAACUGAGACACGGUCCAGACUCCUACGGGAGGCAGCAGUAGGGAAUCUUCCGCAAUGGGCGAAAGCCUUACGGAGCAACGCGGCGUGAGUGAUGAAGGUCUUCGGAUCGUAAAACUCUGUUAUUAGGGAAGAACAUAUGUGUAAGUAACUGUGCACAUCUUGACGGUACCUAAUCAGAAAGCCACGGCUAACUACGUG
rnacentral:rRNA from 1 species